CUGGAAAGUGGAAGGUUAACAACAGAAACUGGAAAAUUAAAAGAAAGGCUCCAAGGCACUGGUUGAAUUUGAAGAAAAAAAUGAGUGAGAACUGGAGGAAAGACUUACAAAAACACAGGGAGAAAUUAUUAGGUGGGAGUGGGAGCUCAUCCAAAAAGAAAAAAAAAAGAAAAAAGAAAAAGGCAAGAAAUCUGGUAGGUAUUUAUCUUUUCCUCCAAGUUCUAUUCUUCCAGCAGUUCUCCAGAUUCUGUAGAUGUGGAUAAGAAACAAGGAAAAA